UGCCAACUCACAAUGUAUUUCAAAGUGAU
rnacentral:piRNA from 1 species